AUCACAAGAGGUGCUGAUGAGAUCUAUAUAACCAGGCACAGCAAUAACAUUGUCAAAUCACUGUCUAGCAAACAAAAGUGGCAAAAUGUGUUCAAUAGGACAGUCUGGGAAGUAAAAAUCUAGACAAAUAUUAAAAUAAAACUUCCGUAAAUCAAAACCCUUAAGUUGGCUAACCCAUAUCAAAUGACACUGUGAGUUUUUCCUGUCAGAAUAAAGUUCAGCUACAUAAACGUACAGUAAAUGCAAGUCCCAAGUUAAUUCUGUUCCAGCGCAGCUUUAUAGCCAAUUCACACAGAGUGCUGAAGCCUUCAGGGUGAGUGACAUGUUGAGGAAUUUCAAUAAGCCUGCGCAGCAGAAUGACAUGAAUCAUAACUAAGGAGAUGUCUAUACUACAAAAAAGUGCAUUCUUUACUGCUGUGAGCUUACUGUCACUAAAAUAACACUGGAGACAAAGGAACUUGGGAACUCACGGGAUUUAACUGCUUGAGCUCAGGAGCAGAGGCUGUGAUUCACUUUGAGCUGCAAAUCCAGGUGAUAAUACUUCUACCAGAAAUGACACCGCCUACUAUCUGAUGGCACUGAAUAUUCCUGUGUACACUGCAGCGGUGCCGAUAACAGCUGCACAGGUCUGAAAUGCUAUAGAAACCAAAGAUGUUUUCUGUUUGAAGUGCUGGGGAUAUGCUCAGAGUGGUGGAGCCCUCUGGACCUUCUGUUGCAUCCUGGAUAAACUGGUAGAAGUGGAAAAUAUUUAUGCACAACUUGAGACAGAAAAACGUACCGUGUCUCCAGAAAGGACACUCUUCCUCCCUAUACUAUGUUUUUAUAUUACUCUACUUUAAGUCACGUAGAACAAAUCCACAUAUAUUUUCAAAAGUCUAACUUGUUCCACAAUAUUUUUCCAAGUGUACAUGACUGAUAGCUAUUUAUUUGAUUGGAGAGAGAUCUAAAUCUCUGUCACUGCUGACAGUAUGUUGUUAUCCGUAAAAAUAAAUGAGUAAAAGCUAA